CUCCUGACCUCAGCCUCCCAAAGUGCUGGGAUUACAGGUGUGAGCUACCACGCCCUACCUGAGAACUUUCUUGUUCUAGGAAAUAUCCACUGAAGAAUUAAGGAGUAUGUAUCAUGCCUGCAACUGACUCUCAAAUAGUUCAGGGAAAAAAUAUAUAUAUAAUGUGUGUGCAUAAAUAUAUUAGAGAGGUAAUAGAACAAAUAGAAUAAAACAUAAACAAUUUAUCUAUCUAGAUAUAAUCUUGCAAUUUUUCUGUAAGCUUGAAACUACAUCAAAACAAAAAGCGACCAAUUUGUCCAAAGCAAGGUUAAAAGCCAGAGAAAUAGGACACGCAGCGCUGCGUUGUUAAAUGACUUGCGCACAAAAAUCCAGUCGCUGACACUUUUUUCUUUGCCUCCCUUUUUAAGUUCAAAUCAGUUUGAGUUUUUCUUAAUUAAGAAGGUAUGUGGUAAAAAACAAAACAGAAAAUACAGAAACCACCAUUAAAUGAUUCGAUAGCCCCACAUAUGUUAAUAACAUUUUGUUACAUUCUUUCCAAAGUCUGUCGUUUAAAAAAAAUACUCAAGAUUUAUGAUUCCAAAAAUUACUGCUUUCCAGAAAUUUCCAAACGGAACAGUUGCGUCAUGGGCCUGCUGGUACAUUGACCACAGGGGCCCGCGGCUCUCCCUAUGAGUGUGAGUUUUAUAAACUCCUUAAAGUAAUUUAUUUUGUUUCCAUUCAAGGCCUUUCUCUCCCACACUUGCCCCGGACCCUGACCUCAGAGGUUCGACUCCCCGGAGCCAAAUUCCUCUCGUUGGAAUCUAGUAAAUGAUUUAAUGGCGAAGGGGCAGGGGUUGGAGGCAGCCAAAGAGGUGAACUUUUGACAACUAGGUGGUCAGUAGCGACGACCGCAGGAGCGCGUGUCCUUGAAGCGGGGAAGCGCCCCUUUUCCUUGCCUGACAAUACCGCCCCACGUGCGCUGACGCCUUUGAAAUCGAAAUGCGCAGCUCUUUGGAGACAUACGGCGCAUACAGAGGGAACGGAGUCCCUUGGGGCCUUCCCGCUUCGGGAGCCUCAGGCUCACUGUGUUCCAAGAAAGAAAUGGACCGUCUAAUGCAGGAAAACCAGCUCAGGGCUCCCACUGAUUCUACAUCAUGGUCCCGGAGGCAGAGCUGCUGUUGCUGGUGACCCGAACUGGUAACUGGUCCUUCCGGGCAGUUGAUCCUGUCAGUCCAACCCGUCACCUCGCUCCAUUCAAUUCAGCAAACGCAAAUAUGAACCCGAUCUGUGCCAAGUAGCCCCUGGCCAGGCACAGGAAGCGGACACUGCCCUCCAAGAUCCCACAACUGAGCCCAGGAGGAUCACAACCAGACACUGCUAUCUGUGCAUCUGGGUCUGAACCCACAGUCUCUCCACAUUCCCAUCAACCCUGCAUUCUCCUCUUUCCUAAAAGGACACAACCCAAAAGAGUCAUCAAGGAAGGCUGGGCAGGGUGGCUCACACCUGUAAUCCCAGCACUUUGGGAGGCCAAAGCGGGUG